rnacentral:rRNA from 1 species
UUGACAUCCAGAGAACUUGGCAGAGAUGCCCUGGUGCCUUCGGGAACUCUGAGACAGGUGCUGCAUGGCUGUCGUCAGCUCGUGUUGUGAAAUGUUGGGUUAAGUCCGCAACGAGCGCAACCCCUAUCCUUUGUUGCCAGCGAUUCGGUCGGGAACUCAAAGGAGACUGCCGGUGAUAAACCGGAGGAAGGUGGGGAUGACGUCAAGUCAUCAUGGCCCUUACGAGUAGGGCUACACACGUGCUACAAUGGCGCAUACAAAGAGAAGCGACCUCGCGAGAGCAAGCGGACCUCAUAAAGUGCGUCGUAGUCCGGAUCGGAGUCUGCAACUCGACUCCGUGAAGUCGGAAUCGCUAGUAAUCGUAGAUCAGAAUGCUACGGUGAAUACGUUCCCGGGCCUUGUACACACCGCCCGUCACACCAUGGGAGUGGGUUGCAAAAGAAGUAGAUAGCUUAACCUUCGGGAGGGCGUUUACCACUUUGUGAUUCAUGACUGGGGUGAAGUCGUAACAAGGUAGGCGUAGACGU